rnacentral:sRNA from 1 species
GGCCUAACCCCAAUAGCUUAACUGUUGGGCAAGGCCGAAAAUCAUGAGGCAUAGAAAACCCGUCAUUCAGGGCAUGCCUCAUGUUAUAGGGGGAAACUCCUAUAAGGCCGCAAGGCCU